rnacentral:rRNA from 1 species
UACGAAGGGGGCGGAGCGUUGUUCGGAUUUACUGGGCGUAAAGGGCGCGCAGGCGGCUAUCCAAGUCAGGCCGUGAAAGGCCCCGGGACUUAACCUGGGAGGUGCGUCUGGGACUGGGUGGCUAGAGUUCGGGAGAGGAGAGUGGAAUUCCCGAGUGUAGAGGUGAAAUUCGUAGAUAUUGGGAAGAACACCGGUGGCGAAGGCGGCUCUCUGGACCGAGACUGACGCUGAGGCGGCGAAAGCGUGGGAGCCAAACAGG